GUGACGCGGCCGGUAACGGGCCGUUCUGAGUAAAAGCUCCUGGAACAUGGAAGUUUGUUUCAUCCUGUGGGUCCGCACCUGACAGCCCUCAGUCGGUUCUGACUGAGCGGAAUGUUUAUGGUGCGUUUACAAAUCUAUUCCUAGUCAGCAGAGAAUGGAAAAUACGUGGUUACAAAAUCUUACUUUAAAACAAAUGUGUUCGUUGGUUUCAGAGGAAGGGAGGGGGGAAUCACUGACCACCACCUCCUCAGGCCCCGCGCGGGGGUCGGACCCACGGCCCGGCCGGUGCCCUGAUGGGAUGGACGCUCCCACUGACCCACACCGGUCGGCCGAAUCGAUCAGUUCAUGGAACGGAAUCGGAGGUGCAGGAAGAGACCCAGAUCCAAGGAUCCAUUUUGUCAGAUAAACACGUCUCCUCGGGUCAUGAGAAAAAUGUGCGUGAAAUAAUAAAUGGAGCUGGGCCGUGAGACCAGCAGCGGGUCCGGGAGGAAGUCCCUGCAGCC